UCCAUCAGCUAAUGGGCUUUUUAAAUUAUUAAUUUUAUGCAGAACUGAAACUGCAUAAGUGAUGGAGCCCCCAUAGAAGCAUUAAGUGCAAUUUAAUGUAGUUGUUUUUGUUUGUAUAAGGUACUUGUGUAUCACCGAAGGUACAUAAGGAACUUGUAUAUCAUUAAUGACUUGCAAGUGCUAAGAGUGAACAAAUUCAGACAAGCGUCAGUAGAGAUUGCACCUCUAUUGGCGUUUU
rnacentral:ncRNA from 1 species